GGAUUCUUCAAGCUGUUAAAACAGUUUUUGCUCACAGAAAAUGUGGACGAGGCACAGGUUAUAAUUGUCCAGGCAUCUGCGAAUGGACAGACUGACUGCAACUCCUUCGAACUAUUCAACAGCUUGGUACAGAGAAAACCAAUAGUGAGCAAUAGAUGGGUAAAACAAUAUCUGCUUGCUGGUACCACACUUGAUAUGGAGAACUUCAUGGUCACCAAGAUUUGUCGAUAUGGAGAAAUCUGUCACGAAAUUGAUUACCAAGGAUUUGAGUUUGAAUUAAGGGGAGAC